rnacentral:rRNA from 1 species
AACGAACGCUGGCGGCAGGCUUAACACAUGCAAGUCGAGCGCCCCGCAAGGGGAGCGGCAGACGGGUGAGUAACGCGUGGGAACGUACCCUUUGCUACGGAAUAGCUCCGGGAAACUGGAAUUAAUACUGUAUGUGCCCUACGGGGGAAAGAUUUAUCGGCAAGGGAUCGGCCCGCGUUGGAUUAGCUAGUUGGUAGGGUAAUGGCCUACAAAGGCGACGAUCCAUAGCUGGUCUGAGAGGAUGAUCAGCCACAUUGGGACUGAGACACGGCCCAAACUCCUACGGGAGGCAGCAGUGGGGAAUAUUGGACAAUGGGCGCAAGCCUGAUCCAGCCAUGCCGCGUGAGUGAUGAAGGCCUUAGGGUUGUAAAGCUCUUUCACCGGAGAAGAUAAUGACGGUAUCCGGAGAAGAAGCCCCGGCUAACUUCGUGCCAGCAGCCGCGGUAAGAC